rnacentral:rRNA from 1 species
UGGCUCAGAUUGAACGCUGGCGGCAGGCCUAACACAUGCAAGUCGAGCGGUAGCACAAGAGAGCUUGCUCUCUGGGUGACGAGCGGCGGACGGGUGAGUAAUGUCUGGGAAACUGCCUGAUGGCGGGGGAUAACUAGUGGAAACGGUAGCUAAUACCGCAUAACGUCGCAAGACCAAAGUGGGGGACCUUCGGGCCUCACGCCAUCAGAUGUGCCCAGGUGGGAUUAGCUGGUAGGUGGGGUAACGGCUCACCUAGGCGACGAUCCCUAGCUGGUCUGAGAGGAUGACCAGCCACACUGGAACUGAGACACGGUCCAGACUCCUACGGGAGGCAGCAGUGGGGAAUAUUGCACAAUGGGCGCAAGCCUGAUGCAGCCAUGCCGCGUGUGUGAAGAAGGCCUUCGGGUUGUAAAGCACUUUCAGCGAGGAGGAAGGGUAAUGUGUU